rnacentral:lncRNA from 1 species
UUCCUCUUCCUCGUCUCUAAUUCCAAUCCGGUCUCCAUUUCGGAUCCAAAGCGGACAACAUGAUUGCCACAGUAAGUGAUCCCCAUCUCGAAUCUCAUAUCUCCUCUCCCUUUUCGUCCUCCUCGCAGCAAUCGAGUGAUCUCUGGACGCAGCGGUUUAUCGAUCUCUUCCUGGCCUUGUCGGUCUCUUUUCGGGGUGGAUUCGAUGGUUUCUUUUCUUGCUGAGGUUACAAAGCCGGAAUCGGUCGAUAAACCUCUGCAUCCGGACUUCCGCCGACAACCAUUCCUCCGUCCUCCCCCCAACCCAAAACACUCCCCCCCCAACCCCACCUUCUUCCUCCACUUGUUUUCGUCAUCUUAUAUAAUGAUUGGGCAAUGAAGAGGUGGUAGCUGUUAGGGCUAAUUGAUACGGCCGAUUCGAUGCCGAUUUCGAUCCCUUUUUUUUACUCAGAUUAUUGUCGGCAUUCUGCAGAAUUUCAAUCAACGAAUAAUGGUGCCAUCAGCAUUUAGAUCGAUUCAAAAUGGGUGACGUCUUGAGUUGUGAUGAUGGACAGAGAAAACAGUAAAUAUGUUUGAUUUAAUGUCUCUCAGUUCUUUCUUAUGCCUUCAAUUUUUCAUUGUUCUUUUGGAUUCGUUUAUCAUUUCAUUAUCUUCACCAUUUGAUCUAUCCAUAUUUUGGAUUAUUCACUGAAUAGGACGUAAAUGUUUUGUAUUAAACAGACAGCAGAGGACUACUAGAAAUCUUUAUUUACAGAAACUACCAUUAUUGGUUAAUUCGUCAAGGAUGAGAGGUCGGAAUAUACUCUGAGAUGGCUUAAACUUUGCUUUGGGAGGACUAAAUGGGGAAAAUAAGCUCAACUGGUCAAAUUAAUGUGACAGGAUGGCACAGUUUUUAUGAAGAUGAUUGAGAUAUAUUCCAUAUUUUGAUGUUUAAACAGUUAGCCUCAGAAAUAUUUUUCAUUUAAUUUAUUCCUUCUACCAAGAUUUGUUGUUCUCCAUGGAUGUGAACCUCCCUAUAUUUGUUAUGUUUGCAAUGCUUGAAGGUGAAUCUGUAUAAAGAAUUUAAACAUAAAUAUUUUUCUAACAUUUAGCCACACGAAUAUUUUUCAUUUAAUUAAUUCCUUUUACCCAGAUUCCUUGUUCUACAUGCAUGUGAACAUCUCUAUAUUUGUUAUGUUUGCAAUGCUUGAAGGUGAAUCUGUAUAAAGAAUUUAAACAUAAAUAUUCUUCUGACAUUUAGCCACAGGAAUAUUUUUCAUUUAAUUUAUUCCUUUUACCAAGAUUCCUUGUUCUACACGGAUGUGAAACCAUCUAUAUUUGUUAUGUUUGUAAUGCG